rnacentral:rRNA from 1 species
UACGUAGGGAGCAAGCGUUGUCCGGAAUCAUUGGGCGUAAAGCGCGCGUAGGUGGCCUCAUAAGUCCGCUGUGAAAGUCAAAGGCUCAACCUUUGAAAGCCGGUGGAUACUGUGAGGCUAGAGUACGGAAGAGGCGAGUGGAAUUCCUGGUGUAGCGGUGGAAUGCGCAGAUAUCGGGAGGAACACCGGUGGCGAAGGCGGUUCUCUGGGCCUUACCUGACACUGAGGAGCGAAAGCGUGGGGAGCGAACAGG